rnacentral:piRNA from 1 species
UGAUAUGUGUGGGAUCUCCGAGGC